GAGCAUCCGAGUGCAACUUUUCGUCUUGUCAGAUGCUGAGGAAGCACUGUUGGGGGCCCCUGGUCUCAGAAGUUUUGUCAGCCUGACUUCUCGAGAGAUACCACCAGAAGAACUAUGUCUACCUCGGUGUUUCUCCCAGAAUGAAUGCUGUGUCCCCCAGUUCCAGGCCGUGCACUUUCCUUUGAACAUCCGUCUGCAUCCUACAUCCCUGCCCCUCUGCCCACAUGCCGCUCCUUCCUGUUUAGCUUGGAUAGCAGGCUGGCUCUGGCCAUCAGAACCAUUGCUGACCUUGGCUGUCUUCACCUGCUGGGCAGACACAAAGUGAGGCCAACAUCUGGACCCAGAGGAGAAAUUAGAGGCCAUUUGUGGAAGCACUCAGGAGGCCGGAAGGCCUCUGUCCAAGGCCAAAACACCACACCAUUGUUUUCCAGUUCCAAACAGGAAGGGAACCUGGGUGUGCUUGGGCAAAGGAAAGGGAACCUGAGGUGGAUGUAAGUGUGGCAAGUGAUCUCGAGUUAAAAAGGGGCCACAGUUUCUUCUAAUAAACAGCGUAUACUGUUCUGUAUCCUGAUAUGCGUGACUAACCUCCGCAUCUUU
rnacentral:lncRNA from 1 species